rnacentral:rRNA from 1 species
UACGUAGGGGGCAAGCGUUGUCCGGAAUCAUUGGGCGUAAAGAGCGUGUAGGCGGCCAGAUAAGUCCGCUGUGAAAACUCGAGGCUCAACUUCGAGCUGUCGGCGGAAACUAUCUGGCUAGAGUCCGGAAGAGGAGAGUGGAAUUCCUGGUGUAGCGGUGAAAUGCGCAGAUAUCAGGAGGAACACCCGUGGCGAAGGCGGCUCUCUGGGACGGUACUGACGCUGAGACGCGAAAGCGUGGGGAGCGAACAGG